rnacentral:lncRNA from 1 species
CUCGACACCAGAGGCGAGAAUGCGGCAAAGAACCGAUCAUCGCGUGUCAGUUCUGCGAUUAUAGAUGCUAUUGGAUGUACAACUUGAAAAUGCACGUUAAGAGCCGUCACAUGAAAUCCUAAAUAUCUUUGUAAAAGAAAACAGUUCGAUUUUAGUAAUAAACAGUUUAUUUUCCAGUACGAACUUAUUUUUGUGAUAACCUUGCCAUGUCGCCGGUGGAGUUGGUCUAAGUAAUCAGUACGAUGGGGUACGGCCAAUUGUCGAUCCAAUUGAUCAAAUUUGAAUCUUCUCUGCGUUGAAGUUAUUCUGGAUCGGGAAUGGUGUGCCCAAUUGAUGGUCAUACGUCAAAGGAUGGACGAAUGUUACCGGAAAGAGUGUGUGGGGUCGGCUCGACAGUCUAACCGUUUUCUUUUAUAUGAAGAUCCUUGCUGUCCCUUAAUUCAAAAAAUACAGCACUUUCGCCUACGGAGCUGAGCUGGUUUUUUAAAUUAAGAGGCGAAAUGCUUUUUCUUAACUACACUCCAUGACGAGAAAGAGAGUUUGUAACCUCAGAGGAAGGGAGGAUGUGAUCCAUUCCUUGGGUGUAUGUCCCAUCCUCUUGGAAUUUAUAGAUCCCCAAUACAGGUCACAGCAGGCUCAGCUGAAACCAGAUAAUUGAGUGUUGAAGGGCGAUUUUCUGGUUAGUUUUAUCUUUCCAGUCAAUGCAUUGUGCAAAUUUAUUAUCGCAAAGACGAGAAAGCUUCGUCUAUACCAUUUGCAGCUUCAAAACCCACUGGCAUAUCUCAAGACCCAUGCUAACAUGACGAUUUUAAAAAAAUCCUAGAACGCAUUUCAAAUCAAGGUUUAACAUCAGACCCAUGGAUCAAAGGAAGUGAGAAAGAGCUGCCAUCUUCUAUCAUGUACUGAAAAACACCUACGACCAAAACACACUAUAAACACAAAAAUUAGACUUGUUCUGCAGUAAUUGUUGCAUAAAAUACUCUUCCAACAUUAUUAAAACAUUGUUUAUUUUUGGGAAAUAAAUUGUUUAUAUUAUAUAGAUAUAUUGUAUAUCUUUAUCUCGAUGGUCUUAAGAACUGGAAGGUUUAGUCUUAAUUUUAGAUCUUUAGUAUUAGUGUAUAUUGGCUGAGACUAAAUAUUUUUGUACAAAAUUACAGGUCUUGUUUGCAAGUGUGGGAAGUAUUUUGGAAACAAGACCUCCUACUAUUACCAGCACAUCAAGUGGCAGUGCGGGAAGCCUCCAUCUUUGGAAUGCUCUUUCGGCGGCUGUUCUUACAGAACGCACUGGAAGUCCAAUCUGAAAAAGCACAUUGCGAACAGCCAUAUGAAUUUGCCAUAAAAUAAUAUAUAUUUUUUUCAAUAUUUUCAAUUCUUUUUUUUUAUUAUAUAUUUUUAUCUGUACAUAGGAAAAUGAGAAAGGGGGCGUUUCAAAGACUAACGGAUUUGUCGGUUUUCAGGCUUGGUCUGCGAUUGUGGGAAAUUCUUCAAGACAAAGUCUUACUUGUCGAAACACAAAAAGUGGCAAUGCGGCAAAUCCCCUUCGGUCUGUUGCCCGUUCAACUGCGGCUAUAUGACUUACUGGCGUUCAAAUCUUAACCAGCACAUUGCCACCAACCACCCCAUGAGACUAACACCCCGUUAGACCCAUAUCCUAUAACCGAAGCGAAGUUUUAUUUUAUUUCUGUUUGUUUGGUUUUUUAACUUGAUUUUGUCUUGGAAUACACGAUGACCGAGUAGCCUUAGUCCUUGUGAACCUUCCACAAUUUGUUGAUUCUUGAAAUAAAUUUUUUGAAAGAUUCAAACACUCAUUUUUUAAAAUUAUUUAUUAACAAAUCCUUAAACCCUAAUCCAGUAUUAUCCUUCAUUAAACUUUUUUCACUCUUGAACUGUUAGUAGUAGCCCAGAAUUAUAUAUGUUUAGCUGUUACUAGUAUUAAAAGCGGUAAAUUUUACUUAUGAAAACUGGCCAAAUGCUCAGUGGAAACUAGAUUUGAAAUUUCAAAUGUUUGUCUUAAAUGUCUUUUACCUUAUCUUCCGAUCCUGCCUGACAGAUAUCGCCGUGUCUCUCAGGGAAUAUCCCCCUCCCUAUUUCGGUAAAAUCUGGAGUCCCCCAAGGAAGUACCGUUGGUCCGAUCAUCUUUUCAAUUUUUUCACUCUUGAACCUUGUCUUAAAUGUCUUUUACCUUAUCUUCCGAUCCUGCCUGACAGAUAUCACCGUGUCUCUCAGGUAAUAUCCCUUUAUAUUUCGGUAAAUCUGGAGUCCCCCAAGGAAGUACUGUUGGUCCGAUCAUCUUUUCAGUAUGUACUGCUGACACCCCUACUUCCCCAAACAUAUCGGCGCCUCGCUUCUCACUUCAACCCAUCCGUUGUUAGCUCCUAUCACCUCAUCCUAUUUGAAUGGUACCGCAAAUGGAUAAUCAAAGUAAACGAAUAUCAACAAGUCAAUUUGCCCUCCAUUAUGACUGGAAUGACAUACUGACGCUGAUAUAGUACGGACAAUCUCCCCUCAACCUUAACAUCAAACAUUUACGAAACUCCCAUCAUCUGAUAUGGACCUAAGGAGUGGAAGUUUGGGAUCAAACAUUCAUCCCGAGUCCAGCCUCUAUAAUUCAAAAUCAUAAGAAAAAUCCACUCUCUUCUACCUUUCCAAUAAAACCAUUCACACUGAUUCCACAUUCCAUUCUUUCACGCCCUUUUAAAAACACAUUAUCAGACCUAUCUGUGCAUCCAACUUUCCAUACUAACCAUACCUGGAAUUCCUCGUAUAUGAAGAGACAAAGGCCUAGGGAUUUGCUCCAGUGAUGUGUGUGUGUGUAUCACCAGAGGGUGGCUUCUCCCAUAAAUUUUAAUUAUUAUGUUAUGAUUUAACAAAUAUACUUAUUGUAGUUGAAGUUUAAGGUGUAAAUAAUAUCAAUAAUAAUUUGUAAAAAUUACUACAUGCGGCAUUUCAAUCUUUGAAAGGGGAAACCUUGAACAGUUUGUUUUCUAAGCGUUCAAAACUAAUUUUGUAAAUGGUUGAGCGGUUUAUUCUCUCUGUAUUGUUACUUUUUGUAUUUUUCCCUGAUGAAAGUUUAAAACGGUGCAAGCUUUUAAAACUAGAAACUCGAAAACUAAUUUUUUUAAAAUUUAUUUAUAUACUUUUCAAUUAAUUAAUCUU